rnacentral:rRNA from 1 species
UACGUAGGUGGCGAGCGUUGUCCGGAUUUAUUGGGCGUAAAGCGCGCGCAGGCGGUGCGGUAAGUCUGUCGUGAAAUCUCCCGGCUCAACUGGGAGGGUGCGGUGGAGACUGCCGGACUGGAGGCACUCAGAGGCCGGUGGAAUUCCCGGUGUAGUGGUGAAAUGCGUAGAGAUCGGGAGGAACACCAGUGGCGAAGGCGGCCGGCUGGGGGUGACCUGACGCUGAGGCGCGAAAGCGUGGGGAGCGAACAGG